CUCAGAGGGCACAGUGUCUGUGCACACUUCGGGGUGGGCCCAUUCAGGUCCACCAACAAUCCUGGCCUCAGAGACCUCACCAUCCGGGAGGAGCCCAGGGCGUUAUGUGGGCCCAGGGGUGGGGCUUCUGGCCAGGCCAAAGGCAGGGAAGUCUUCCUGGAGGAAGCGACAUCUCAGCUGCGUCCUGAAGGAGGUGUUGGUGGGACCCAGGCCCAGAAGAGGGGCAGGAUGACACAGGCAGAGGACACAGCUGGCGCAGGCGGCGGGGGGUACAAGGCACAGUCCCUGUCCUCUCGGAGCGACUGUGCUGGAGGAGACAGACAGUGGGGGCAGUGACAGGGAAGCCCUCCGUGAGCAGCAGCUCGAGUACAGCCCUUGGCUGCUCUCCUGCAGAAUGUCCUGCACGACAUGCAGCAUGGUCUGGGGUACACGUUUGUUUUCUUGUCACCCAGCUUCUUGUCUGUCUCCCCACCAACUGCGAGGUCCCCAGGGAAGGUACCUGGCCCACUGGGGUCACACCUCGAUCGCCAGCACCUAGCACAGCACCCCCAUACCUGCUCACUGAAUAACUGUCACUGAGAGCAGGAGCCCAGAGACUGGGCAGUGGUCAGAGAUAGCCGAGGCC
rnacentral:lncRNA from 1 species